rnacentral:rRNA from 1 species
GACGAACGCUGGCGGCGUGCUUAACACAUGCAAGUCGAACGGAAAGGCCCUGCUUGCAGGGUACUCGAGUGGCGAACGGGUGAGUAACACGUGGGUGAUCUGCCCUGCACUUCGGGAUAAGCCUGGGAAACUGGGUCUAAUACCGGAUAGGAGCCAUUUUUAGUGUGAUGGUUGGGAAGUUUUUUCGGUGUAGGAUGAGCUCGCGGCCUAUCAGCUUGUUGGUGGGGUAAUGGCCUACCAAGGCGGCGACGGGUAGCCGGCCUGAGAGGGUGGACGGCCACAUUGGGACUGAGAUACGGCCCAGACUCCUACGGGAGGCAGCGGUGGGGAAUAUUGCACAAUGGGCGCAAGCCUGAUGCAGCGACGCCGCGUGGGGGAUGACGGCCUUCGGGUUGUAAACUCCUUUCGCUAGGGACGAAGCUUUUUGUGACGGUACCUAGAUAAGAAGCACCGGCUAACUACGUG